rnacentral:rRNA from 1 species
UACGUAGGGUGCGAGCGUUGUCCGGAAUUAUUGGGCGUAAGGAGCUUGUAGGCGGUUUGUCGCGUCUGCUGUGAAAAUCCGGGACUCAACCCCGGACCUGCAGUGGGUACGGGCAGACUAGAGUGUGGUAGGGGAGACUGGAAUUCCUGGUGUAGCGGUGAAAUGCGCAGAUAUCAGGAGGAACACCAGCGGCGAAGGCGGCGCUCUGGGCCGGAACUGACGCUGAGGAGCGAAAGCGUGGGUAGCAAACAGG